UACGUAGGCGGCAAAUUAAGUCAGUAGUGAAAUCCUGCAGCUUAACUGUAGAACUGUUAUUGAUACUGGUUUUCUUGAAUAUAGUUGAGGUAGGCGGAAUGUGUAAUGUAGCGGUGAAAUGCUUAGAUAUUACACAGAACACCGAUUGCGAAGGCAGCUUACUAAGCUAUGAUUGACGCUGAGGUACGAAAGCGUGGGGAGCGAACAGGAUUAGAUACCCUGGUAGUCC
rnacentral:rRNA from 1 species